AAUGCAAGUUCGGAGGAGCACCCUAAGAGGUGCCGGGGCUU
rnacentral:tRNA from 1 species